rnacentral:rRNA from 1 species
GCUAACGUCGGGCCCGCAUACGGGGGAAUACGAAUGGUGCAAACGUUUGUCGGAAUGAUUGGGCGUAAAGCGCACGUAGGCGGCGUGCCAAGUCGGACGUGAAAUCCCUCAGCUCAACUGAGGACGUGCAGCCGAAACUGGCGAGCUUGAGGGCUGAAGAGGAUCGCGGAAUUCCCGGUGUAGAGGUGAAAUUCGUAGAUAUCGGGAGGAACACCAGUGGCGAAGGCGGCGAUCUGGGCAGACACUGACGCUGAGGUGCGAAAGCGUGGGGAGCAAACAGGAUUAGAUACCCUUGUAGUC